rfam:Sporomusa sphaeroides DSM 2875 SPSPH_contig000011, whole genome shotgun sequence.
GGCCCGUUGGUCAAGCGGUUAAGACACCGCCCUUUCACGGCGGUAUCAGGGGUUCGAAUCCCCUACGGGUCA